rnacentral:rRNA from 1 species
AUGGAGUCAGGCCAGCCACUCCCGAGUUCGGACCCGCGGGACGGCCGCGGCGGCUGGCGCGCCGCGCUCUUCAUCGUCGUCGUCGGCUUCUUGGAGCGCAUCGGGUUCAUCGGCGUGGAGGGCAACCUGAUCACGUACCUGACCGGCCCGCUGGGCAUGUCCACCGCGGCCGGCGCCGCCAGCGUGAACGCCUGGUCCGGGACCGUGCUGGUGCUGCCGCUCGUCGGCGCGCUCGCCGCCGACUCGCGCCUCGGGCGCUACCGGGCGGUCCUGCUCGCGGGCGUGCUCUACCUGCUGAGCCUGGGAAUGCUGACGGUAUCAUCCAUGCUGCAAACGCAACAACUUCGUCCCGCCGACUGCCAUGGCACGACCACCACCUGCUCGCCGCCGCCCUCGACGUCAUCGUCACCCGCUCAGCUCGGCUUCUUCUACACCGCGCUCUACCUGCUAGCGCUGGCGCAGGGCUUCCACAAGCCGUGCUCGGAGGCCCUGGGUGCAGACCAGUUCGAUUCCAGCGUGGGCGCGUCACGGAGCUCCUACUUCAACUGGUUCCACUUCUCCAUCUCGUGGGGCUAUGCCAUCGCGGCGACUGCGGUCACCUACGUUGAAGAGAACGUCGGUUGGACGGUGGGGUUCGCCGCGUGCUGGGCCAUCAUGGUGGUGUACCUCGCUGUCUUCUUGCUUGGCAAGCGGACGUACCGGAUAGAGCAGCCGGUGGACGGCAGUUCCUUUGGGCGGAUCACUGAGAAGUUCGUCCUCUCUCAAACUGAUGCCACCAUUGACACCCAACGGCUUUUGGAGACAAAUCAGGACGGGUUCCUCGUUAAGCUGCUUCCUAUCUGGCUGUCGAGCUUAGUGUUUGCCGCGUGCAUCUCGCAGAUCACCACCCUGUUCACCAAGCAGGGUAGCACGAUGGACCGGCGCCUAGGCGGGGCCGCGGGCCUCGUCGUGCCGCCCGCGGCGCUGCAGUGCUGCAUCAGUUUAACAUUCAUCGCCCUUGUCCCUGUCUAUGACCGCACCAUUGUACCCUUCGCGAGGCGCCUCACCGGUCACCCCGGGGGCAUCACCAUGCUCCAGCGCAUCGGUGCUGGGAUGGUCACGGCGUGCAUCACCAUGGUCAUCGCGGCGCUCGUGGAAGCCAAGCGCCUCCGCGUUGCCAAGGACGCGGGCCUGCUCGACCGGCCGGACGUGGCGGUGCCUAUGAGCCUAUGCUGGCUGGUACCGCAGUACGUCCUUAUCGGCCUCGCGGAGGUGUUCAGCUACAUCGGACUGGAGGAAUUCUUCUACGACCAGGUGCCCGAGGCGCUCCGUAGUGUGGGGCUGGCGCUAUGCCUGAGCAUCUUCGGCGUGGGGAGCUAUGCCAGCGGCAUGCUCGUGUGGGCGAUCGACUGGGCCACGAAGAGGGGCGGGGGAGAGAGUUGGUUCUCCGACAACCUCAAUCGCGCGCACCUCGAUUACUUCUACUGGAUCCUGGCUGGCCUCGGCGCUUUAGAGGUGGUCGUGUUCUUGUACUUUGCAAAACAGUAUGUCUACCGAGACAAACCUGAGUAA